UGGGGAAUUUUGCACAAUGGGGGAAACCCUGAUGCAGCGACGCCGCGUGAUUUAGAAGGCCUUCGGGUUGUAAAAAUCUUUUGUAUGGGAAGAAAAUGACAGUACCAUACGAAUAAGGACCGGCUAAUUACGUGCCAGCAGCCGCGGUAAUACGUAAGGUCCGUGCGUUGUCCGGAAUCAUUGGGCGUAAAGGGUACGUAGGCGGAUAAGCAAGUUAGAAGUGAAAUCCUAUAGCUCAACUAUAGUAAGCUUUUAAAACUGCUCAUCUUGAGGUAUGGAAGGGAAAGUGGAAGUCCUAGUGUAGCGGUGAAAUGCGCAGAUAUUAGGAGGAAUACCGGUGGCGAAGGCGACUUUCUGGCCAUAUACUGACGCUGAGGUACGAAAGCGUGGGUAGCAAACAGG
rnacentral:rRNA from 1 species